ACCAAUUUCUACAUUUUCAUCAUAUACAGUUGUAAUAAUCUGGCAGCAUGAUCCGAGAUAACAACCGACAAUGUUAUCAGAUUUGGAUUACGCUACCUAGCUAUGUUCAUGUUAUCUAAUAUCUAGUUGAAAAAACUUCUAAUGACAUAACGUCCGCAUAAAUACUCGCUGACCCUGAGAAGAAAAAUCAAUUUGACACGUCAAGAUGAGUUCCUUGGAAAAGUGUGGCAAGAAUCGCUCUAAAGACAAUAAUGGUAAAGCAAAAGGAGUGUGCAACAUAGGUAAACGAAGAACAUCCAAAGAGCUUGAAUGCACUCGCGACACCCAGAGCAAAGACGAAUCAUUGAUGUCGGAGAAAAGGCAAGUUUCGAGUGUAAGCGGUGGAAAUAUGGCGACUAAUGAUGACUUUGAUCCAACAGAACACCAACACAUCAGAUACAAUCCUCUGAAAGGAGAAUGGAUAUUAGUAUCCCCGCAUCGUAUGAAGCGUCCUUGGGGAGGACAAGUAGAGGAUAAUCUUGACGAAGAGCUUCCCGAAUAUGAUCCGAAGAAUCCAUUGUGCCCUGGAAACGUUAGAAGCAGUGGUAAAGUGACUCCAUAUUACCGCAAUACGUAUUCAUUUGAAAAUGACUUUCCCGCACUGUUGGAGUCUGUUCCAAGUCCGCCAGAAUCUUCGGACGAGCUUUUCAAGAUUGGUCCAGCAACGGGAAAUUGUAAAGUGAUGUGCUUUCACCCGAAAUCAAAUGUUACCAUUGCUUUGAUGAAAGUUGAAGAUAUCAAAGAAGUAAUAAAACAAUGGAUACUCGAAAUGCACGAACUGAGCAAAAAAUGGGCCUGGAUACAAAUAUUCGAAAAUCGCGGAGCCAUAAUGGGAUGUAGCAACCCUCAUCCGCAUUGCCAAAUUUGGAGUAGCUCGUUUCUGCCCUUUGAAGCUCAGAGAAAAGACAAAUUUCUCUGCGACUAUUACCGCCGUCACCAGAAACCGCUUCUGAUUGAUUAUGUGCGAAAAGAGAUUGAUAAAAAGGAACGUAUCGUGAUUGAGAAUUGUGACUGGGUAGUCGUCGUUCCAUAUUGGGCACAGUGGCCAUACGAGACUAUGGUGUUGCCCAAAAGACAAGUAAUCAGAAUGCAAGAUCUGACGGUGAGUCAACAAGAGUCUCUGGCUAUUAUAAUGAAGCGACUGUGUACCAGAUACGAUAAUUUAUUCCAAUGCUCGUUCCCUUAUUCAAUGGGAUGGCACGGUGCUCCAACUGGUCAAUACUUAAACGAGGACUAUCGCUACUGGACAUUUCACGGAAUAUAUCUUCCACCAUUGCUCCGUUCUGCAACGAUAAAAAAGCACAUGGUCGGAUACGAACUCUUGGCGCAAAGUCAACGAGAUUUAACGCCUGAACAAGCAGCUGAAAAACUUAGAGCGGUAUCAGAUGCUCAUUACAGACACCCCGAAACUAGUUUGCCACCUGACGAACCUGCUAAAUUUUGCGUGUGCAAUCCCCCUGAAGCUUCGAAGUCAUAGAGGCUAAUCAAUUAGCAAAUUAUAAUGAUUGUGAUAUACAUUUCACUAUCUGCCAAUUAUCAGGUUUUAAAAUAUUGACUAUAUAUUUUUUGAUGAUUAUAUAGAAAGGA